UUCUGUUUGGCAAUAGCAUCUCAGUGACAUCCUUGGUUGGAAUAGUUUUAGAAUCAAGGUAAAGAUGGAAGUCAGACCAUGGAGUUCCCAGGAGGAAGGAGCUAGAGGGGAAAUGGGACCUGAGGGGUGGGUUCCCCAUCUGGGUGUUGACAGGGAGGGGAGGGCAGGGGAAGGUGAGAGGCGACAUCCCAGAUCAGGUGGGCCUGGC
rnacentral:lncRNA from 1 species